UACGUAGGGGGCGAGCGUUGUCCGGAUUUAUUGGGCGUAAAGAGCGUGUAGGCGGCCAGGUAGGUCUGCUGUGAAAACUCGAGGCUCAACCUUCGAGACGUCGGCGGGAAAACCAUCUGGGCUAGAGUUCCGGAAGAGGAGAGUGGAAUUCCUGGUGGUAGCGGUGGAAUGACUGCAGAAUAGUCAGGAGGAACACCGAUAGCGAAGGCAGCUCCGCUGGGACGGUACUGACGCUGAGGCGCGAAAGCGUGGGGAGCGAACAGG
rnacentral:rRNA from 1 species